UACGAAGGGGGCUAGCGUUGCUCGGAAUCACUGGGCGUAAAGGGUGCGUAGGCGGGUUCUUAAGUCAGAGGUGAAAUCCUGGAGCUCAACUCCAGAACUGCCUUUGAUACUGAGAGUCUUGAGUUCGGGAGAGGUGAGUGGAACUGCGAGUGUAGAGGUGAAAUUCGUAGAUAUUCGCAAGAACACCAGUGGCGAAGGCGGCUCACCUGGCCCGAUACUGACGCUGAAGCACGAAAGCGUGGGGAGCAACAGG
rnacentral:rRNA from 1 species